AGUGAACGCUGGCGGUAGGCCUAACACAUGCAAGUCGAACGGCAGCACAGGAGAGCUUGCUCUCUGGGUGGUGAGUGGCGGACGGGUGAGGAAUACAUCGGAAUCUACUCUGUCGUGGGGGAUAACGUAGGGAAACUUACGCUAAUACCGCAUACGACCUACGGGUGAAAGCAGGGGACCUUCGGGCCUUGCGCGUUUGAAUGAGCCGAUGUCGGAUUAGCUAGUUGGCGGGGUAGAGGCCCACCAAGGCGACGAUCCGUAGCUGGUCUGAGAGGAUGAUCAGCCACACUGGAACUGAGACACGGUCCAGACUCCUACGGGAGGCAGCAGUGGGGAAUAUUGGACAAUGGGCGCAAGCCUGAUCCAGCCAUACCGCGUGGGUGAAGAAGGCCUUCGGGUUGUAAAGCCCUUUUGUUGGGAAAGAAAUCCAGCUGGCUAAUACCCGGUUGGGAUGACGGUACCCAAAGAAUAAGCACCGGCUAACUUCGUGCCAGCCGCCGCCGUAA
rnacentral:rRNA from 1 species